rnacentral:rRNA from 1 species
UACGUAGGGGGGCAAGCGUUGUCCGGAUUCAUUGGGCGUAAAGAGCGUGUAGGCGGCCAGGUAGGUCGGUUGUGAAAACUGGAGGCUCAACCUUCAGAGGUCGACCGAAACCAUCUGGCUAGAGUCCGGGAGAGGAGAGUGGAAUUCCUGGUGUAGCGGUGAAAUGCGCAGAUAUCAGGAAGAACACCAAUGGCGAAAGCAGCUCUCUGGGACGGUACUGACGCUGAGACGCGAAAAGCGUGGGGAGCGAACAGG